AAGGGAAAUCAGAGAUCUAAUCUGGAAAAGAAAUUAAAGAAUGGGUGGUAGGAGGCCUUGGUGUUACCAAUGCCUUUUGAAGGGUUUUGAUAAAGGAGUGGUGAUGGUAUGGGAGGAUGAAGAAUAUGAAUGUUACUGAAGAAAUUGCCAGUGAGUUGCUUGGAGGGUACUAGUCUGUAGUCUGUAAUGACCUAGGAGUGAUAAUGGUGCCUAUAGAAUGUUGGUAUUGAAAUAAAAUUACAGAUUUAAGAGCCACUCCAUUGUGUUGGUAUUGUUAGUUGAAUGGAUUAUACAUGCUUAAAAGUAAUGAGAUAUACUAAAAAACAAAACAAAAAAUCCUUAUAUAGUAUCUAUCACCUUUUCAC